UACGGGGGGAGCAAGCGUUGUUCGGAUUUACUGGGCGUAAAGGGCGCGUAGGCGGCGUGACAAGUCACUUGUGAAAUCUCCGGGCUUAACUCGGAACGGUCAAGUGAUACUGUCGUGCUAGAGUACAGAAGGGGCAACUGGAAUUCUCGGUGUAGCGGUGAAAUGCGUAGAUAUCGAGAGGAACACCUGCGGCGAAGGCGGGUUGCUGGGCUGAUGCUGACGCUGAGGCGCGAAAGCCAGGGGAGCGAACGGG
rnacentral:rRNA from 1 species